rnacentral:rRNA from 1 species
UACGAAGGGUGCAAGCGUUACUCGGAAUUACUGGGCGUAAAGCGUGCGUAGGUGGUUUGUUAAGUCCGUUGUGAAAGCCCUGGGCUCAACCUGGGAAUGGCAGUGGAUACUGGCAAGCUAGAGUGCGGUAGAGGGUAGUGGAAUUCCCGGUGUAGCAGUGAAAUGCGUAGAGAUCGGGAGGAACACCAGUGGCGAAGGCGGCUCUCUGGACCGAGACUGACGCUGAGGCGCGAAAGCGUGGGGAGCAAACAGG